UACAGAGGGUGCGAGCGUUGUCCGGAAUCACUGGGCGUAAAGGGCGCGUAGGCGGCCCGGUUCGUAAGGGGUGAAAUCUCACGGCUUAACCGUGAGGCUGCCUCUUAAACUGCCGGGCUCGAGCACAGUAGAGGCAGGUGGAAUUCCCGGUGUAGCGGUGGAAUGCGUAGAGAUCGGGAAGAACAUCGGUGGCGAAGGCGGCCUGCUGGGCUGUUGCUGACGCUGAGGCGCGACAGCGUGGGGAGCAAACAGG
rnacentral:rRNA from 1 species